GACGAACGCUGGCGGCAUGCCUAAUACACGCAAGUCGAGCGAACAGAUGAAGUGCUUGCACUUCUGACGUUAGCGGCGAACGGGUGAGUAACACGUAAGGAAUCUACCUAUAAGCGGGGAAUAACAUUCGGAAACGGGUGCUAAUACCGCAUAAUCUCUUCUUCCGCAUGGAAGAAGAUUGAAAGACGGCUCUGCUGUCACUUAUAGAUGGCCUUGCGGUGCAUUAGUUAGUUGGUGGGGUAAUGGCCUACCAAGACGAUGAUGCAUAGCCGACCUGAGAGGGUGAACGGCCACAUUGGGACUGAGAAAAGGCCCAAACUCCUACGGGAGGCAGCAGGGGGGAAUCUUCCGCAAUGGGCGAAAGCCUGACGGAGCAAUGCCGCGUGAGUGAAGAAGGCCUUCGGGUCGUAAAACUCUGUUGUAUGGGAAGAAAUGCUAAAAUAGGGAAUGAUUUUAGUUUGACGGUACCAUACCAGAAAGGGACGGCUAAAUACGUGCCAGCCGCCGCCGUAA
rnacentral:rRNA from 1 species